rnacentral:rRNA from 3 species
CUGACCUCAAAUCAGGUAGGAUUACCCGCUGAACUUAAGCAUAUCAAUAA